rnacentral:lncRNA from 1 species
UUGAGGAGAGAAGCCGGUUCUACAUCUCGGCACUGUUCCAUCAUUUUAGGAGAACAUAAUUUUGGUAUGGGAGGGUGAGUGUGUUCUUCACAGUCCCCACCUUUUAAAGAGGAAAUAGAUGCACAAAUAGUGGCUAUUGUUUUGAGAUAAAUGAAAAAAAAACAUUGACUGUCUCACCAAUGAUUCCCCCACGUUGCAUAUCUGAAUAAGGUUCCCUUCCUGUUAAAAUUUCCUAUAGCAAAAUGUG